GGGGACGACAUGGCUUCGACGCCGGUGGCAAAAUCCAAGGUGCAUGUCGAGAUGUCAGCGAAUCUCGUAAAAUCAAAGCUGAACGUUAUAGUCGCAAACGACGACAACUACGCACUAGCCGCUUAAAAACCGGUUAGUCUGCCUCGCCGGGGUGCUUGUUCCCCGUGUAUUUGAGGCAGUCAUAGCAAACAAGCUACGCCGCUACGUAGAGCUCACUGCGUAACGGUUAAAACCUCAAAGAGAUCGCCUCUUGCACCCUGGCCUCUGGGUCGCUUGAGGUUAAAUCAAUAGGGGGACUCUAAGCAUGUAGAGCCGAGGACAGAGUGCCGGCGGACGCGGGUUCAAUUCCCGCCGUCUCCACCA
rnacentral:tmRNA from 1 species